GGAUGUGAGGGUAAUCUGGCUGUGACAUCUGUCACCCAAUUCAUUGCCAAGGUUGAGUCCACUGAUCUGGCUCACCAGACAGGGUCCUCCCUCCCUUACCACUCCAUGAGCAUCCCUCCUAUUGCUAUAUGCGUGAAGAGGAUGACCUUCCCAGUAGAGAAGGACUGCUCUUUGGUCAAGAGCAUAAGAGUAGCUGCACUCUCCUGUUAGAACCUCCAAAACAAGCUCUCAAGGUCCAUUUGUAGGAGGAAGUGGGGUUAUCAAGCUUCCAAGACUCCAGAAACAUCCAAAUGAAGUGCUGCAUGUGGCAGUCUGCCUUU
rnacentral:snRNA from 2 species